rfam:Mesocricetus auratus contig157585, whole genome shotgun sequence.
UUAAUGGCUUUUUUACUGUUGUAAAAAACAAAGCCACAAAACAGUCUAUUUAAAUAAAAA